rnacentral:rRNA from 1 species
AUUGAACGCUGGCGGCAGGCCUAACACAUGCAAGUCGAGCGGAGCGGCGGACGGGUGAGUAAUGCCUAGGAAUCUGCCUGGUAGGGGGGGAUAACGUCCGGAAACGGGCGCUAAUACCGCCUACUAUCAGAUACGCCUAGGUCGGACGAGCUAGUUGGUGGGGUAAAGGACUACCAAGGGGACGAUCCGUAACGGGUCUGAGAGGAUGAUCAGUCAGACUGGAAAUGGGACACGGUCCAUCCUCCUCCGGGAGGAGUCAGUGGGGACUAUUGGUCAAUGGGCGAAAUCCUGAUCCAGCCAUGCCGCGUGGGUGAAGCAGUUCUUCGUAUUGUAAAGCACUUUAAGUUGGUAGGCGUUACCAACAGAAUAAGCACCGUCUAACUUCGUGCCAGCAGCCGCGGUAAUAC